AAACUUUCAACAACGGAUCUCUUGGUUCUGGCAUCGAUGAAGAACGCAGCGAAAUGCGAUAAGUAAUGUGAAUUGCAGAAUUCAGUGAACCAUCGAAUCUUUGAACGCACAUUGCGCCCGCCAGCACUCUGGCGGGCAUGCCUGUCCGAGCGUCACG
rnacentral:rRNA from 1 species